rnacentral:lncRNA from 1 species
ACGGCAUCUACAAGAAUGAUCGAAUCGAACAAACAUAGAAAAAAUUAACAUGCCUGUCUUCAUAGCCAAGAUGAGACAAAUAAGCGAUGUUGAAAUUGACGAUGGUACAUGUAUAGAUCCUUGCUCUGUGUUCACCAUCUUUUUAAAAAACUCCGUUUGAGCUAUCAACCACAAAUGCAAUUCCCGAAAGCUUUUAUCGAUGAAUCCAAACCAACUCUCACAAAAGAGGAGAGAAAAUCACACACUCUCACCAGGGAGAGAAAUCAAACUAUAAUCAAAAUAAACUAGAGAAAAUCCAACUAAAAACUAAAGCAAUUAGAUCUGCACCACGACACGUAAGAGAUAAUCGAUCCACCCACAAAUCCAAAAAGCCCUCCGGAAGCGAAUAAGAACGAAAAUCAAAAGUUCCGGUGAUAUAGAUCUAAGAAACUUUCCCUCUUGAAGAAGGAGAUUUAUUAAGAAAAUCAAUUGAAGAAGCAAGAACAAUAAGAACUAGCAAUCAAACGGAAAGAUUUGGGGCUUUCCACCGGAAAACCGAUGGAAGCCCCGUCGAGAAUGAAAAGAGGGAGGCGGCUAGAGAGAAGAGAGAAAAAGAAAACUUUUGUUUUGAAAAUGUUGCAGACACCGACUUUUCUUUUUCGUUGUUAACGUUCACGCUAAAAGCAACUCUCACUAUCUCUC